GUGGGGAAUAUUGGACAAUGGGCGAAAGCCUGAUCCAGCAAUGCCGCGUGAGUGAUGAAGGCCUUAGGGUUGUAAAGCUCUUUUACCCGGGAAGAUAAUGACUGUACCGGGAGAAUAAGCCCCGGCUAACUCCGUGCCAGCAGCCGCGGUAAUACGGAGGGGGCUAGCGUUGUUCGGAAUUACUGGGCGUAAAGCGCACGUAGGCGGUUUUGUAAGUUAGAGGUGAAAGCCUGGGGCUCAACCCCAGAAUUGCCUUUAAGACUGCAUCACUUGAACGUCGGAGAGGUGAGUGGAAUUCCGAGUGUAGAGGUGAAAUUCGUAGAUAUUCGGAAGAACACCAGUGGCGAAGGCGGCUCACUGGACAGGUAUUGACGCUGAGGUGCGAAAGCGUGGGGAGCAAACAGGAUUAGAUACCCCGGUAGUCC
rnacentral:rRNA from 1 species